AUUGAACGCUGGCGGCAGGCCUACAACUGCAAGGCGAAACAGUGGCGGCAGGGUGGUGAAUGUUAGGGAAACUGCCCGAUGGAGGGGGAUAACUACUGGAAACGGUAACUAAUACCGCAUCCCAUCGGAUGUGCCCAGAAGGGAGUGGCUUGUAGGUGGGGUAACGGUUCACCUAGGGCACGAUCCCCAGCUGGUCUGAGAGGAUGACCAGCCACACGGGAACUGAGACACGGUCCAGACUCCUACGGGAGGCAGCAGUGGGGAGUAUUGCACAGUGGGCGCAAGCCGGAUGCAGGCAUGCCGCGUGUAGGAAGAAGGCCUUCGGGUUGUAAAGUACUUACAGCGAGGAGGCGUUACUCGAAGAAGAAGCACCGGCUAACUCCGUGCCAGCAGCCGCGGUAAUAC
rnacentral:rRNA from 1 species